rnacentral:rRNA from 1 species
AGUGGAUGGGGAGCAACCUAGUUGUGCGUGUGUAAAGGUAGUGCCAAGAAAAGCGGUGAUCAUGAUGAAAAUCAAUUCCCGGUACCCGAAACCGACACAGGUGGGCAAGUAGAGAAUACUAAGGGGCGCGAGGUAACUCUCUCCAAGGAACUCGGCAAAAUGACCCCGUAACUUAGGGAGAAGGGGUGCCACCGAGAGGUGGUCGCAGUGAAGAGGCCCAGGCGACUGUUUAGCAAAAACAUAGGUCUCUGCAAACUCGAAAGAGGAGGUAUAGGGGCUGACGCCUGCCCAGUGCCGGAAGGUUAAAGAAGUUGGUCAGUCUUAGGAUAAAGCUAGCGACUGAAGCCCCGGUGAACGGCGGCCGUAACUAUAACGGUCCUAAGGUAGCGAAAUUCCUUGUCGGGUAAGUUCCGACCCGCACGAAAGGCGUAACGAUCUGGGCGCUGUCUCGGAGAGAGGCUCGGCGAAAUAGGAUUGUCUGUGAAGAUACGGACUACCUGCAUUUGGACAGAAAGACCCUAUGAAGCUUUACUAUAGCUUGGAAUUGUGUUCGGGCUUCCUGUGCGCAGGAUAGGUGGAGGCAAAGAAGGUAUUCUUGUGGGGAUACUGGAGCCAACGGUGAGAUACCACUCUCAGGAGGCUAGAAUUCUAACUUAAUUAAGGACAGUUUCAGGUGGAUAGUUUGACUGGGGCGGUCGCCUCCAAAAAGGUAACGGAGGCGUACAAAGGUUCCCUCAGACUGGUUGGAAAUCAGUCGCAGAGUGCAAAGGCAGAAGGGAGCUUGACUGCGAGAAGUACAGUUCGAGCAGGGUGAAACACGGUCUUAGUGAUCCGACGGUGCUGUGUGGAAGGGCCGUCGUUCAACGGAUAAAAGUUACUCUAAGGAUAACAGGCUGAUCUCCCCCAAGAGUUCACAUCGACGGGGAGGUUUGGCACCUCGAUGUCGGCUCAUCGCAACCUGGGGCGGAAGUACGUCCCAAGGGUUGGGCUGUUCGCCCAUUAAAGCGGUACGUGAGCUGGGUUCAGAACGUCGUGAGACAGUUCGGUCCAUAUCCGAUGUAGGCGUGAGAAUAUUGAGAGGAGCCUUCCUUAUUACGAGAGGACCGGGAAGGACGCACCGCUGGUGUACCUGUUAUGAUGCCAAUUGUAAACGCAGGGUAGCCAAGUGCGGAGAGGAUAACCGCUGAAAGCAUCUAAGUGGGAAGCCCACCUCAAGAUGAGUAUUCUGGUGUAAGGUCACGGGAAGACGACCCGUAAAUAGGCACGAGGUGGAAGUGCAGGGAUGUAUGAAGCCGAAGUGUACUAAUAGACCGUCGGCUUGACC